rnacentral:rRNA from 1 species
AUUUAGAUUUUCUAGGUAGUAACUUCAUUUAAACAAACCUUUAUAAAAUGGCGGCAUUUCAUUUUAUUAGAGGAACAUGUUUUUAAAAUCGACUCCACACGAUCAAUUUUACUUUUAUUAAAAUUUUAUAUACCUCCAUUAGACAAAUUUAUACAAAUAUAUUUUUUAAACAAAAAUCUAAAAAAUUAGGUAAAGGUGUAAACAAUAUAAAAGAAUUAAAUGUGUUACAUUAAAUCCAAUUUAAAAUAAUUUAUUUAAAAUUUAUUCGAAAAGGAUUUAAAAGUAAUAUUAAUAUAAUAUAUUACUAUGAAUAAAUAAAUAAAUGUGC